rnacentral:rRNA from 1 species
AUUGAACGCUGGCGGCAGGCCUAACACAUGCAAGUCGAGCGGAUGAAGGGAGCUUGCUCCUGGCUUCAGCGGCGGACGGGUGAGUAAUGCAUAGGAAUCUGACUGGUAGUGGGGGAUAACGUCCGGAAACGGGCGCUAAUACCGCAUACGUCCUGAGGGAGAAAGUGGGGGAUCUUCGGACCUCAAGCUAUCUGAUGAGCCUAGGUCGGAUUAGCUAGUUGGUGGGGUAAAGGCCUACCAAGGCGACGAUCCGUAACUGGUCUGAGAGGAUGAUCAGUCACACUGGAACUGAGACACGGUCCAGACUCCUACGGGAGGCGGCAGUGGGGAAUAUUGGACAAUGGGCGAAAGCCUGAUCCAGCCAUGCCGCGUGUGUGAAGAAGGUCUUCGGAUUGUAAAGCACUGUAAGUUGGGAGGAAGAGCAGUAAGUUAAUACCUUGCUGUUUUGACGUUACCAACAGAAUAAGCACCGGCUAACUUCGUG